AAGGAGAAUAAAUUUAGAUGAGAAACAUAAAGAAUAGUUUUUAAAAAGACAGAGAGACUCUAGGAAGUGGUGUCAUGGGCUUUUAAGUUUAGAGUCAAGAAGCCCUGACUGUGAUAUGGGAGACAAAUUCAGGAACCUACAGGAGCCAGCUUCUUCAAAAUUAUCCACUUUUUGAUCCAUCUUUUAUCUUCUCAUUUUUAUUAUGACGUAGAUAUAGAAACUAUUUGUUUUCUUUUUUGUCUAUAAAAACAUCAGAGGUCCAACCACAGCAAUAUAUAGAAACUAACACUGAAGCUAGCUUCAGGGAGGCAAAAGGGAGUGGUGGGGAUUGUGGUAACAUGGUGUGGAUAUCAGCACACACCCUGUUGAAAGGGAGCAGCUGGCUUCCUCAGGCGGGAAGGGAGGGCUGGUGUUGCCUGAGCUUCCAGUUUUUGAUAAACUGAUAAGAACACAUAUAUUUGUGUCAAAUCUCCCAAUUUUAAAAUAGUGACUCAGAAAUAUCUAAAGCAGUAUGUGAGUAAAGUAAAAAAGAGUCCCAUGCCUGCAGGACAAAAUUGGGCACGUCAGGCUGUUGGGGCAUAUACUUUUUCUUUAAGUCACAAAGGAAUGAUUAUCUUGUCUGCUACUUUUGUUUCAGAUUAGAAAACCUGAGACCCAGACGGGGGAAACUGCUUUCCAUGGUUAAUCGUCAACAACUGGCCAGGAUGGGACAGAAGCCCAUACAUAGCCUUCAUUCCAGGGCUCAGAACAAAAAGAAGGCAGUGGCCUGGGCUGCACCUGAGCUUGGCUUCACAUAGGAGGGAUUCUGGAACGCAGGAUCCUGACAACGACCUCAAGUUAUCCUCUCAAUGGAGAAACUUG
rnacentral:lncRNA from 10 species